rnacentral:rRNA from 1 species
AGAGUUUGAUCAUGGCUCAGAACGUACGCUGGCGGCACGCCUAACACAUGCAAGUCGAACGAAGUAGCAAUACUUAGUGGCAGACGGGUGAGUAACAUGUAGGUAUCUGCCCUUUGGCCUGGAAUAACACGAGGAAACUUGUGCUAAUACCGGAUAAGUCUUUACAGAGAAAGCUUUAUGCACCAUUGGAUGAGCCUGCACUUGAUUAGUUUGUUGGUGGGGUAAUGGCCUACCAAGACUGUGAUCAAUAGCUGAUUUGAGAGGAUGAUCAGCCACAUUGGGACUGAGACACGGCCCAAACUCCUACGGGAGGCAGCAGUGGGGAAUCUUGCACAAUGGAGGAAACUCUGAUGCAGCGAUGCCGCGUGAGUGAAGAAGGCCUUUGGGUUGUAAAGCUCUUUCGUCGGGGAAGAAAAUGACUGUACCCGAAUAAGAAGGUCCGGCUAACUUCGUGCCAGCAGCCGCGGUAAUACGAAGGGACCUAGCGUAGUUCGGAAUUACUGGGCUUAAAGAGUUCGUAGGUGGUUGAAAAAGUUGGUGGUGAAAUCCCAGAGCUUAACUCUGGAACUGCCAUCAAAACUUUUCAGCUAGAGUAUGAUAGAGGAAAGCAGAAUUUCUAGUGUAGAGGUGAAAUUCGUAGAUAUUAGAAAGAAUACCAAUUGCGAAGGCAGCUUUCUGGAUCAUUACUGACACUGAGGAACGAAAGCAUGGGUAGCGAAGAGGAUUAGAUACCCUCGUAGUCCAUGCCGUAAACGAUGUGUGUUAGACGUUGGAAAUUUAUUUUCAGUGUCGCAGCGAAAGCGAUAAACACACCGCCUGGGGAGUACGACCGCAAGGUUAAAACUCAAAUGAAUUGACGGGGACCCGCACAAGUAGUGGAGCAUGUGGUUUAAUUCGAAGAUACGCGCAGAACCUUACCAACACUUGACAUGUUCGUCGCGACUUUAAGAGAUUAAAGUUUUCGGUUCGGCCGGACGAAACACAGGUGCUGCAUGGCUGUCGUCAGCUCGUGUCGUGAGAUGUUGGGUUAAGUCCCGCAACGAGCGCAACCCUCACUUUUAGUUGCCAUCAUUAAGUUGGGCACUCUGAAAGAACUGCCAGUGAUAAGCUGGAGGAAGGUGGGGAUGACGUCAAGUCCUCAUGGCCCUUACGUGUUGGGCUACACACGUGCUACAAUGGUAUCUACAACAGGAAGCAAGACGGCGACGUUAAGCAAAUCCUCAAAAGAUACCUCAGUUCGGAUUGCACUCUGCAACUCGAGUGCAUGAAGCUGGAAUUACUAGUAAUCGUGGAUCAGCGUGCCACGGUGAAUGCGUUCCCGGGUCUUGUAGA